rnacentral:rRNA from 1 species
UACGUAGGGGGGCAAGCGUUGUCCGGAUUUAUUGGGCGUAAAGAGCGUGUAGGCGGCCAGACAGGUCAGCUGUGAAAACUCGAGGCUCAACCUCGAGACGUCGGUUGAAACCGUCUGGCUAGAGUCCGGAAGAGGAGAGUGGAAUUCCCGGUGUAGCGGUGAAAUGCGCAGAUAUCGGGGAAGAACACCCGUGGCGAAGGCGGCUCUCUGGGACGGUACUGACGCUGAGACGCGAAAGCGUGGGGAGCGAACAGG